GCAGGGGUGUCCCCACUCCGAUGGGUCUAUGUCUCCUGUGCUGAGGCCCCAGAGCUGCAGGAGCCAUUUCCUCAGCCCCGCGCUCAUCUUUCUGCCACGCCCCUGCACCAGCCAUUGGAUCUGCUGUGGCUGCGUCACCCUCUUCCCCUGCUCACUGUCCCCAGCCCUGCCUCUGAAGGAGGGAGCCCGGCCCAUUUCCCCAGGCACACGUGGGCAAUAAAAACUGCAGUACAGGGAUAUUGGGUGACGGUUACAUCCAGCUUGUGCUCUCCAUUUUCACUGUCUUGAAAACUGCCUGGGAGUAACUCCAUCACCAGGGUUCAUCGUGGUUACCACUCGCUCCUUGGGCUCCGACCGACUCCUGAUCCAGCGCAGGCAGAGAUACAAGGCACUUUUGGGAAGCUUGGUUUCUUCCAAGAGAGAGAAUUCAGCUCUUUGAUCCCGCUUUUCCCUGCUGAAGGAGAUCCCGGACUGACCCUCCUUUAUAUGAUCUGAAUUUUCGAAGAUCUGCAAAAGAAAUGGCAAGAUUUUUCCGUGUGGUUUGCUGCAGUUUCAGUUGCCAGCUCAAGAGUAUGGUAUGUGAGUCUAUGGUCAGGUAUCCUUACGGCUGUGUUUCCAUAUAUAAACAUGUACUUUAACUUGGAGAAAUACUUUGCUGACAAGUAAAGGUCAUUUGCUCAAACUGAGACAGUGUUUCCUUAAUUUCCUGUCCCGGCAAACUGGGCACAAGAGCAUGUAACUCCCUUCUG